rnacentral:rRNA from 1 species
AUUGAACGCUGGCGGCAGGCCUAACACAUGCAAGUCGAACGAGUGGCGGACGGGUGAGUAAUGUAUGGGAACCUGCCAGCUGGCGGGGGAUAACUACUGGAAACGGUAGCUAAUACCGCAUACCAUCGGAUGUGCCCAGAUGGGAUUAGCUCGUAGGUGGGGUAAUGGCUCACCUAGGCGACGAUCCCUAGCUGGUAGGAGAGGAUGCCCAGCCACACUGGAACGGAGACACGGUCCAGACUCCUACGGGAGGCAGCAGUGGGGAAUAUUGCACAAUGGGCGCAAGCCUGAUGCAGCCAUGCCGCGUGUAUGAAGAAGGCCUUCGGGUUGUAAAGUACUUUCAGCGAGGAGGCGUUACUCGCAGAAGAAGCACCGGCUAACUCCGUGCCAGCCGCCGCGGUAAUAC